rnacentral:rRNA from 1 species
UAUCGGUAUGGGGUGGGGUCGCGUCCUAUCAGCUUGAUGGCGGGGUAGCGGCCCACCAUGGCUUCGACGGGUAGCCGGCCUGAGAGGGCGACCGGCCACAUUGGGACUGAGAUACGGCCCAGACUCCUACGGGAGGCAGCAGUGGGGAAUAUUGCACAAUGGGCGCAAGCCUGAUGCAGCGACGCCGCGUGCGGGAUGACGGCCUUCGGGUUGUAAACCGCUUUUGACUGGGAGCAAGCCCUUCGGGGUGAGUGUACCUUUCGAAUAAGCACCGGCUAACUACGUGCCAGCAGCCGCGGUAAUACGUAGGGUGCAAGCGUUAUCCGGAAUUAUUGGGCGUAAAGGGCUCGUAGGCGGUUCGUCGCGUCCGGUGUGAAAGUCCAUCGCUUAACGGUGGAUCCGCGCCGGGUACGGGCGGG